rnacentral:lncRNA from 1 species
AAUCUUGGCUCGCUGCAAGCUCCGCCUCCCGGGUUCGGCUGUUCUCAGAGAUUUGUGUGUCUGCCAGAGGGAGGUGGUCGGUGUUUGCAACGUGGCUUUCUGCUUGGAAGGACUGUGGCUCCGUGUCUCAGAGUUCUGGGCCUUGGGUGUCUCAUGGGCCUGGUGCUGGGCAGCAGCGUGGAGCUGCCAGCAAGAGCAGCCUCCCUUCUGCUCUCAAGACUCAGGCCUUGGGAACAAGGCUGUGACUGUUGUUACCCACACACGCAUAGAACCCGUCUAGCAGCGGAGAUGCUGCUCCCAAGCUGAGAGAUGUGGUCCUGCGGGGGCUGGUGGGGGCAGAAGACAUUUCCUCAAGACACUGGCAGUUACUGGAGGAAGGUGAGAGGUAAACGUCAUUAUAUUUUUAAAAACACUGUAGACUUUGAGAACUUUGUGUGCUCAUUUACUUUUCCUUAGGUUGAGACUGAAAACGUCAACACAGGAGGCUGGUCUCGUCCAUCUUCUCAGAGGUCAUCCUUCAGGGAAAUGGGAAACUCAGACCAACCGUGUUUUAAGAAGCGUCCUUUAGUAGAAGUCAGGGCAGGCACCGCGGCUCCACGCUUACUUUCGAGGGUGCUGGCGGGUGUGGCUGGAGCUCACUCUCACUGCCGGAAGUGAGGAGCCUCUCCAACUCACUCAGGGGAGAUUUUUAAAAAUAGUCUUAUUUCUCACAAAAAUAACCACUUCCCUGGGCUGAAAACUCCCCUGGAGUCUGUCAGUGCAGAGCAGCGCUGGGCUCAGGAUCCGAGAUGGGAGCGAGGAGCUGUUCCACCCACAACAAGCAGGUGCCCACAGCGUCCCUGGGUCCAGACAUGGAAGACCCCACAGCGUCCCUGGGUUCGGAGAUGGGAGACCCCGCAGCGUCCCUGGGUCCGGACAUGGGAGACCCCGCAGCGUCCCUGGGUCCGGAGAUGGGAGACCCCGCAGCGUCCCUGGGUCCGGACAGGGGAGAGGCCCUGCAGCGUCCCUGGGUCCGGACAUGGGAGAGGCCCCGCAGUGUCCCUGAGUCUCCUGGACAGCGGCCACCCCAUGCCCAGUGCUGACGGGCGCCCCUCGUGACUCCCUCUUUCAGGGCUGGUGGUCAUGUCUGCGUGAUGGAAAGGGAGCAGGAAGCUGAAGGGUAGGAUGGGGAACAGGCUCACAUCUGUGAUGGGAAAGUCUGCCUUGACCUCUCAAGGAAAGGCUCAAUUUUUAGGGGAAUGAUUUCCAAAUCAUUUAAGAGGCCCCAAGAGGAGAGAUGCAGAGGAGGGGAUGGUCUCUCACUGCAGCCCUGGUCUCAUUCUCCACAGGGGAGGCUCCUCCCCUCUGCUCCAUCCCCAUGGGAGCCAGGGCCUCGCCUCUGCCAUCUGGGAUGUGAAACCUGUGGCUUCACUUCCAGACUCAGCAGAGGAAGAGGCCACGGGGUCUCUGAUGAGCACGUGGAAUCUUGCCCCUUAAAUCUUGCUGUCUGAGGAAUGGGGACAUCAUUUAGACACAGGCCAGAGAGUGCCCAAGGCCCAAGGAAAGUUGAGCCCAUGGCUGCUUCUGACAUCAGCCACUAGCUAAGCUCAGCCCUCAGGAGCCCUUGGAGCCCCUGACCCGUCAGCCAGGGCUGGCACUCAGGAACCAGAGCUGCUGGGAGGCCCAGGUCGUGGCCACGUGCACAGGCACCGGAGACAUCCUUGGGUGGCCUCCUGUUCCUCCUCUGAAUAAGGGCUGGUUUCCCAGAGAAGAGUGUGCACUGCUGUUACCCCAAGUGAGCCUGCGGUGAUAAUUGCAGUGUGAUUUUGCAGCUUCUUUGCAGGGUGGCAUCCGGCUCUGGUGGUGACGUUUUAAAGACGAAGAUCCUGCGUGUACACGGCUGUGAGGCAGACAGCCCGUAAUCAGUGCGACUCCAUGCCGUGCCACACACCUUAUUUUAAGCCACGUGUUUCCUUUAUGAAAAUAGAGCAAAAGGACUAUUAAGAGGGAGAACAGGAGUGUCACCGGAAGCCCCAGACUCAAGGCCCUGCUGUUCUGCCCCCUUGGCCGUUAUCCAGCCCACGGUGGUCUCCACGAGCCCCUGCUCCUGUCCAGGCUCCAAAUCACAUCGACAUGACAGUUGGUGCCGACCUGACAGGCAGUAGGUGAAUCCCUUCAAAACUCUUCCUUCUCUCUUUUUUUUUUAAGUCUUUAACAGACCUCCCUAGAACCCUGAAAUUUGGGUUUCCACACUUUCUUCAAUACAGUUGUUUCUGAGGACCAUAAAUGCUGAGUCCUGAAGCAUGUGCUGUGUGUCCUGGAGGGGCCAGUGUGGUGUGUGGUGUAUGAUCUGGAGGCUCCCCGGGGGCUCCUGGCAACAAGCUGCAGGACGCACACCUUCUCAGAACCAGCG